rnacentral:tRNA from 1 species
AUCUUAUAAAUUCUUAGGUUGAUUCCCUUAGAGAGCACAAGUGCAUAAGAUA